rnacentral:hammerhead_ribozyme from 1 species
AUCCAGAUGAUGAGUCUCAAAUAGGACGAAACACUUGUUUUAGAU